rnacentral:rRNA from 1 species
AUGCUUGGAAGCAUCGACUGCAUGCAUUGGAAAUGGAAGAAUUGCCCAUUUGCUUGGCAGGGGAUGUACAAAGGCGCCAAAGGCGGUUGCAGUGUGGUACUUGAGGCGGUGGCCACACAGGACCUCUGGAUUUGGCACUCCUUCUUUGGUAUGCCAGGAACUCACAAUGACAUCAACGUGUUGCAGUGCUCUCCUGUCUUUGCCAAGCUUGUUGAAGGUCAUUCUCCUCCGGUGAACUUCGAGAUCAAUGGGCGGCACUACAACAAGGGGUACUAUCUAGCUGAUGGCAUCUAUCCGAGAUGGUCGGCAUUUGUGAAGACCAUCAAAAACCCUGUGCCUGGAGGCAAGAACGCCUGGUUUGCGAAGAUUCAGGAGGCUUGCAGGAAGGAUGUCGAGCGGGCAUUUGGUGUGCUCCAAUCUCGAUUUGCUGUUGUCCGGUACCCCGCUCAGACCUGGUCGAAAGAUCAAAUGUGGGAGAUCAUGACCUGCUGUGUCAUCUUGCACAACAUGAUCAUUGAGAGCGAGCAGGAAGAGCCAGUGUUUGACACUGAACCAUACCACAGGCAGGGUCCUCUUGCCCAAGUUGAUCACCAGCUACCAGCAACCUGGACUGCCUACCUCAGUAUGCGUCAGGAGAUCCGAGACCCACAGGUGCAUCAUCAACCGCAGCAAGAUCUGAUAGAGCACCUAUGGAGGCUCAAGGGCGACACC